AGGCCGGGCGAAACGGCUGCCCCUGCGGCGGCGCCCGCAAGUUCGCGGACGCUUUGCCAGGCUGCUAGCUGGCUGAUCGUCAUGGCAGGCAUACGUUUUACAGGCGGGCUGCGGGACUUAUAUACCGAGCUCCCGCUAAAUUUUGGGGGUAUUUCGGAACCUGAGUGCUCCUGGCAAGAGACAAGCGCAUUAAACUUUCUCUUACUGCUGACAUGGCGUUGGUUCCGGUGUUUCUGAGAUCAGGGAAAAGAAAUACCUAUCGUGGUAAAAACUUAACAACUUUGUGAUUACAUAUGGCAGCAGAGGAAAAACAUAUUUAAUUUUGUCCCCAUCGCUUAGUCAUUGCUAAUAAUUUUUCACAUCUUGAAGCAGUUUUUCUUCUACAUUGCUCUAGCACUAUUUCUGUUUUAAGCGAGCGUCUAGCGAGUCAGUAGAAAUGCUCUUCUAAAUUGGGUGAUGGCUGUUCCUUAACAGGUCUUCGCCACCUGCUGCAAUAAAAAUAACACAUUGGUGCUAUUGGAGGAAUUCUUCCUGUCAUAGCAAAGAAGCUUUACAGUAAAAAUUGAGGAACAAGAAGAGUGAGAAGUACACCAAUGAAAAAUAGAAAUUCCCUAACAGGCAAAAGUAGCCCGUGUGUCUGUUAUCUCAACUUAGUCAUUCUUAGGUCUUUUCCAUUAUCAAAUUCACUUACAAAAUCCAAGAGAAAAGCCCACAGAUCCACUUUCUCCAUCCAUCUACCACUCAGCAGGAAUAGCUACUUCCCGUUAAGUCUAUGAAUAUUAAUAGCUACACGGGGUGCUAUUGAAGCUUUUUUCUUUCCUGGGCUAGGAAGUACACGAAGAGGUAAUGGCGUCUUUGCUUUUGAAAUUAUGCCGUAAGCAACAACUACGCUUCUCCUUGGGCUCCUUCUGCGUUGAUGUAGCAACGUAACAGCUCACAAAUUAUGCUCUGAAGUUGCUUUGUCCUGCCAGUAUUGCCGCUUGAGCUCCUCAACUUUCUGAAAGCAACCAGAAGGGUGUGUUAAUUCCAGGAAAGAAAUUAAAAUAUGCUAAAGCUUAACUGUAUAUAAAUUUGUAGUUAGUUUCUCUUUCAGUGGAUGUUCUUCUUUUGGAAGGACCUUGCUGAGCUGAGCAUUCAUUUCAUCUUUUUUUGCCUCACAGUUUUGGAAGGUCUGCAUUCCAGAGAUGCACAGAGGGAAAGCUGCAGAACAGCAGCCUUAACACGAUUAACCUCCUGCACUUAAUCAAAGUCUGCUCUGUGAGCUACUCGGAGAAGUACCCUUGGCGACCACUCAGUGAAAUUUGUUCUUAAUGUUUCAAAGCAUUCGGCUGCUUGCAGUCAUUCUCGUUCCUCGCAGUAACGCACACAAGGACAGAACAUUCUACCAGUUGCCAUAAUUUGAAAGAAAGAUCGCAUACAGCUGCACAGUUGUCUUUGUAUGAAGCAAACAAUGGUCUGUAUGUGGAAAAUGGAUUGCAGACAACCUAAUGCUGGCCAACAAAAGUCACCCUCCCUGGUGGUUAAAAUUUAUCUGGAAAGAUGAGAACAAGAACAACCGUUCAGAGAAAGACUUGGCAUUCCUGCAUUUAAGCUGAACAAGAGUUUAGAUUCACGUGCUGCAUAAAAUAUUUCUAAACAUGAGGAGGAUAGGGGAUCAGGGAGAAAAAGGAAGAAACUCAGGAAAGGAUGCUAGAUGGUUCUUAGAGCUAGAGCUUUACAGAAAGACACAAGCAAAAGUACUAAGCGUUAAUUAAAACAUAUCAAGAGGUGACGGCAUUAAAAUAAUCAAGCACAAGAAAGACUGAUAGGUGUACUGAAACAGCUGAAUUUACAGUGCUAAAAUAAGGGUUUUUUUUUUAACCUGUUUCAUGAAGGACUUUGAGAUAACAAAGCAGUUCAUAUAAAAAAGCUGUAGGUUUCAUGGAUUCCAAAUGUAUUUUAACAUACAUCGUUGGAAAGCUUGAAAAACAGCAUUGUAGGUAAAUGUAGCGAUAUUCACUAUACUUUGCACACUGCAGUAACUCUGGAAAUGCAAACACAGGAGAAAAAGACAGUAGUGAUGAGUGUUGAUGAAGACUGGUCAAUGAAGAAAAUAGCACACAAUCAAUUUUUUGGUUUAUAACGUUCUCUUCAAUAGUUUCAUUGGAUAUGUUCAGAAACUAUUUUUAAUUUCAGGAGUUAAAAAUAUAGGAAGCUUGCCUUUUACUAGCCUUUUAAAUAAAAUCAAAUACUUUAGGAUAAAUAUUGCCAGCUCUUUUAAGACUUCAGAGUCUCUGUAUUAAAGUGUAAAUAAACCAGCAGCACUGAAAGAGCCCUUUCAAAGGCCAGCUUUUUAUUCUAAUUAAAUUCCGUGAUGAUUCUAAAACUGGAGUCAGAUGCUAGCGUCCAAAAGCAUUUAGGAAAAUGUACUUAAACUACUAAGCAUGCUUUAGCGCUAUUCUAAAAUAACGUAAAGAGAUAAACAUCUUAAUUUGAACUAAAUCCUCUUGACAUUCAUUUCUGUGUCCUCUGCCUUUUUGUGGCUUGAUACUUGACGUAUGAAGUCAUUCUGAGAUGGGCUGAAGGGGUGGGCAUUGUGUGUGCCAGAGUCCCAGAGCUCUGUGAAUUAAUGCUGCUCUGUAUUUCCUCAAGGAAUGAGCCCAUUCAGUUUACAUUUAUUGAGAAUAGACCCUGGGAAGGAAUUAUUUCUUCCUUAUAAGGAGCUUUGUGUUGGAAUAUCUGUUGGGACAGUUUAGCUCACUACUGAGUUACUAGGGAUAAAAGCAUCACUGUUAUGAGUAAAAUGAUAAUGUGCAAGAGACUUCUUAAAAUUAAACUCAUGUAACUAAUUUACAAGGUUCAGAAUUUCAGAGUCUCAGAACAGCAAAAUAAGGCCGUCUCAGCUUCGAAGUUUUAACUCAUUUCCAUUUGCAAAAAGUCAAAAGCAGAAGAUCCUGUCUCCGAGAGGAAAAUAGAUUUAACAUCGCUCUGGGUUUGUUGUGAACUUUUAUAGAUCUGAGUUUCAGAACUCGUGAACACUCAAACUGAAAACGGUGCUAUUCCUCUCAUAAGCUUUUGUAAACUUUAUUUUUAAAGGAUUAUGUUUUUCUAAUAUCAAAAUAAAAGCAAGUCAAUUUGAUAAAAACUUUUUUCAGUUUUUAAAAUAAUUGUCUCCUGGGUAUUUUUUCUCUUUGCAGCAAGUACAUAGACUUAAUCAGGGUAAGGUAUCUGCGUAAUGAUUAAAAAUUCAUAAUAGUUUAAAAAAUGAUUCCUCAAAGCUCUAGAAACUUUAACCUCUCCUGGUCAGACAUCCUCCACCACAAAUGUGAUCGGCCAGUUCAGAAGUUAAUGAGUUGCAAAAUGCCACUGACAGAGCUACUGGCACGGGUCAGAGCACCUCUGCCCUUACGAUGCACCAACAGUGAGGGGUUGUUUGCAAAGCUGUGCUGCUGAUGGUCUAGGUGGAGACAUCAUGGCAGUGCCUUCUUGUGGAUACACAUCCGACACUAACAGACCUCCUUUUUGCCUUCUACAGUUUCCUCCCUUUAAACUGCACUUUAUUUGAGACUCCUGUGCAUUAGACCAAACAGCUGCUUUGCCGUGGCAGGCAACAUACUAAUUCUUGGAUAGAAACUCUGUGUGAGUUUCUCAAUCCACCAGUGUCAGAAAUGAAAGGCUUUGCUUUCCCAGAUGCUCACCCAUGGCAAAGGGAAACCACAUACACUAAAAAUUCUCUUAAGAGCAUUUUCCAAGAUGCUAAGUUCUGGUAGAAUGGCUCUAAAGCAAAAAAAAAAAAAAUCUCUGCUUCCCAUCUCAAGGAUUCUGAGUCCAGAUUCAUUUGUGAUGGUGAGAGAACUGUACCCGCAAGUAAACAGCUUACAUAUGCCAAAAACUGAAAACGCAUGCUUCCUGCAGGAGCUGAAACUCCUGCCUGUGGUGCGUGUCCCUCGUGCCCCUCUGUGCCUCCCCCAGCACAGCCAAGACAGCGGUGCACAGAGAGGCGAUUGCUGGCUACCUGGCCAGACGUUGUUUCUGAUAUUUGCCAGUCUUUUGUGAGCUACUGUGCCUUUAUAAAUUAUAACUGAGGACUUGCAGAAAGCAUGGAGGCAGGGACAGUCAGAGAUAGCUAAGCAACACUUAAAUGGUUCCUGUUUAAACAACUGGCAUUCUUUUAAAAAGCUUGGCUACAGUGUCUGCUUCCUCUAACUUUGUCACCAGUGAUUGCCUUUAGCAAACUGGGGAAACCAAACUGGACUUUUUUCUUAACGGUCCAUUUAAGCUUUGAUUACUGGUUGUUAAGAUCUUAAUCCACUAACGUUCAAAAAAUAUUACAAAUGUGUCUCUACCUCUGCUAGGACUGAAACUUCCAGUUAGGAUCCAGUUAGGACUCUUCUUGGUUUGUAUCGGAGACAAGCUUUCAAGGGAUCAGUCUAAACACAAGGGCUUCUGUAUAACUUAGACACCCUAUGAAAUCAGAGACCGAGAUUUUCCAUAUGGCGCUGAAGUGGUGCUGUACCAUCUGGUUAAGGUUCGUUAAGUUAAAGGGAACUGUGCACUGAAGAGUAAUUAGUAAAGACCCAAUGUGAGGGUAGAACAUUCCGUGGAGUUGGUUUUUAGUUUGUUUUCAGGUUUCAUAGUCGACUCGUAUGUGUAUAGCAGUAUUUAUAGCAGCAUCCUUAAGCAAAGUGCCAUCUAAAAGUGAUGGUACUUCAGCAGGUUUUGAUAAACAAAGUUGAACUUCGGCAUUUGUCCCGGGGCUUUAAAAACAAUUAGAAAUUUUGUAGCUCAAGUGCUAAUUAGACUGAUGUAUGCCUGUUUUAUCAUGUUAUUCCUGCAAAACCAGGUAACCGAGCUGUGGAAUCCAUUUGGAGCCAUCGGUUUUCUGAGUUAAACACAGUUUACUGAUGUGGAUUUGGGAUGAUCUUGAUAUGAUUUCACCUUUGCUUUAUACCAACUGUAUGUGUUUUCUUUGUAUAUUUUCCUGUUUCUAUGCCUUCUUCCUCCCUCAUACCGACCCGUGACCAUACUUUGGUACUGACAGGACGUGGUACAUCGUAGUUCUUUCCUGACAAACAGCCUAUAAAUGUUCCAUCCAGUUGUCUUCCUUAUUCUUAGUCUUCCUGCCCUGUAAUCUUGAAAUUGUACCAGAGCUAAUAUCUCAGGCUAAGCCUUGUAAUCAAAUUCAGAAGAUAGAGAUAAGAUACGGUUAGAGCUCUGCAGUAAAAUUUUGUCAGGGAACCAAGUACUUCCUUUUACUUCAGUAGCUUCAAAGGUUUCAUUGGAAUCUGUGUCUUGGACAGGGAUUUAAUUCUUUUUUUUUUUUCCUACCAGUCUGUCACUAAUAGCAUCUAACUUUUGAAGUUGCUUUGAAUAGAAAGGGAGAGCAUUCUUCCUUUUCCUUUUCUGUGCUCCAGGGAUUAAGAUGAGCUGAGAGAUAUGCCUCCGCUUCACUUCUCCACUCGGAAUAACAGCGGCGCAGUGCACUCAUAUAUUUCCAGAAAGCUAGAGCUUUGCUUCCAGCGGGGUGUGCCAGGAGUGGCAAGAAUUCGGCAGUUUUAACUACUGAACAGGAAAGGACCCCUUGAUGCUUAAUGUGUCUCCAUGCUGCUUUGCUUCUGUAAAUUAGGCAGAACUCACGGGACAGCUGUCUUCUUGCUAGACACUGUCCUCUGCUGGGCUGUGCUCGGAGCCCUUCAGAGGGAGCAGAUACAGCUCCGCGCGUGGUGUGGUUCAGAGGCUGGAGGAGACGCUGUGUCAGGCUGACCUUAGACAGUUGUCACCAUCAGUCACCCUGCAAAUGUUGCGAUCCAUGAGCAGGAGGGAUAGUAAUCUGCUGCGGUCUGUUCAUGUAAAAAUACGUUUUUUUUUUUGUGGUUCCAAAAAAACGGAGCCUCUGGACAGGGACAGGUCUCUACGGAGCCUCUGAAUUUAUCCAGUUGCAGUAAAGGUCUGAUGCUACGUAACUGCUCCCCAAACUGAGAAGAAGGAAGAAACUCUCCAGUACCCUAUGUCAGAACUGCUUCCCAGUCAGUAAUUUUAAUAUGUGCUUGUCAGGGCGUUGUCACAGCCAGCACAAAAAUCAACUUCUUCCACGUCUCCAUGGUUCCAAGCAGUAGCAAAACCUGACGGAUGCUGUCCAGUGUUUGCUUUGCCCAGGGCACAGCACAGGCAGCACAGCUCUCCAUGCGCUCACCUGGAUGACCAGUCCUGGUUUGGUUUGUAGCCUGCUCUCAGCCUUUUAUCUCUGUAAAUACGAAGGCUUUGAUCUUUGUUUUGUUUGGGUUUUUUGUUCAUUUGUUUGUUUAAACAAGUAUUUACUGGCUGCAGUUGAAUGGCUGCUUUUGAAAUUCUCUAGGAAAGCUAGAGAUCUUUAAAAAGAAAAUAAGAAGUCACUAGGCUGUGAGUUAUGACUGGAAGAACUGAGGAAGAGAAGGGCAGAACUAAUGUGAGUAAGAGCUGAAGGAUGAUCUGGUGUAUAAACCCAGUCUAUUGCCAACUCCACCCUCUAAAUGGCAUUUGCUGCCAGGGAAAUUGGAUCCACCCUGGACUGAUUCUAGCAUCAGAAAAAUCCUCCUAAAAUAGCUCUGGGCCUUACAAAAGUUGCAGUUUCCUUCCCGAUAAUUGAUGCUGUGGUGACAACCUGCAUCUGGUACUCAUGAGUUGCAGUCACCACAUCUGCUAGGGGGAAGAAGGCAACUUUUUCCCUUUCCUCAGUCUCUUGCCUUGUCUGCAGGGAUGGUCCAUGAAGUGAAAAAUUGUUUGUUCAGUUUGAGCACUUAUUGAAAGGGAUGGUGUCCCCUAAUACUAGCAACUUGGAAAUGAGUAUGCAACCUGUGUUGACUCAGGUUUUUAAGAAGUGUAAAUGAAGAGGAACCACUUUAAGAGUAACUGGGGAUUGGUCUAAGUUGCAUUAUUGCCAUUGAAUGUGGGUUUAUUUCGUCCUGUUUACUAAAUGGGGAGUAUAACCAUGGCAACAUUCAUGACACGCUCUGUAUGGAUCUGCCAACACAAGAGUGAAAUUAGCAUUCCGAAGACAACUGUUUGAAAGUAGCUUGUGAACUGAAAAAGCAUGUUUCAGACUACAGUCUGGAUGAUAAUACGCUGCACCAUUUGCAGAGAGAACGUUAUGCAAAAUUUGCUAGUUUGGCUUAAGUGCUCUCAGCAAGAAUAUUUGUGGUAUCAUUUGUAUAGAUCUUACCUUGACGAGUGAAAACAUAAUGGUGUAAAUAUUAAUAGUCAGUGGUGAUUCUUAAGUGUACUGAAAAAUACAAAUACAGCUAGAGUUUUAUGCUCAACUUUAGUGCAAAGAUAGUUGAAAUCAGUUCACUUGGGGAAAAAUACAGAAUGACAAUUCCUAGACAAGAUGAAAGUUCUACUUACAAAAUAAAAUAAAUACUAUUUCUACAUAUAAAGGAAAAAAAAAAAAAAGAGCCUGGGGUGAAUGGAAAUAAGGAGGGGAAUGUAAAAUGAACCUUCUAGAUCAUAGUCAGUCCUCUGCUGUCGCCGGUAUAAACUGUUGAUAGUCUAGUAACUAAUUUUUCUUGCUGCUGCAUGUUGUGUGAAUUUUUUGCAGAAGUCUUUUAUAUGGAGAAUCGUGGUCUGACAGAGUGUGGAUGGACUCAAUAAUACAUCACUUCUUCAUGUCUCUCUAUAGGUCACUUCCUUCUGAAAGGAGCAGAGUCAAAUGUAACUACGCAUUUCUGGAUGACAGUACUACAACCUGUUGCAAAUGCUCUGAACAGUGACUGCUCUUUAUUGCCUCAGCACACCAUCUUGGGAUAACACAUCAGCCAGUCUGAUGGAAUAUUUUAUGUAGAGUUACUACUUCCUGUGAGUCAGUGCUGUAAAAGGCAAUUACGUCUGCAAAGAACACAGCAUCCUUCAUGUCCCUUGCUGCCCUCAUGACUGAAAAUGAUGCAUUUAGGGUGGGUUAUGUUAGUCCUAAGAAUAAUAUGGAUCUAUAGAAAUUAUGGAAAUACUGCUAGUAAUAUAUAAACGACUAAUUAGAUAUUUUUUCUGUGUUUGGAACAUAUGGGAAAAACCCAAACUUUAUCACUUCAGAAGGUAAGAAAACACAUCCUAUUCCAGCAGUAACUCAGGAAGAUGUUAGCCACCGGAGCUAGGCUUAAAAUGUCACAUGUUCAGAUAACUUAAAUCAGCGUUUACAUUCUAACUGAUUGAGCAGCUAUCUGGAUUGCUACUGUUAGUUCUCAAUAAAUUUGAAACUGGUAAAGACAAUCCAGAGGACUUGACAAAGUUGAGAGUACUGUCAGCAAAAAGGGCAAAAUCCAGAUGAUUACUGGUCAUCAGUCUAGCACCUAUGUCAGCCAAAAAUGUGUAACUUAUAUCAGUCCAAUCAAGAAGCUAUUAAAGGAAAUCGGCAGAACUAAUGUUGGGAACUAUGGGUAUAUGAAAAAUAGAUCUGACCACAGCUUUGUUAGACAACACACUUGAUAAAACAUACAAUGUUUACAUCACAAUAGUGUUUGUGUAGUUCUUAGACUUCUUCCUGACUUUUUGUCUUACUACUUCAUGACACUUUCUAUAUGUCGUGCUAAUAUGACCUGUUACUUAACAGAACAUUGGUUAACUGACGGUUGAAAACAAAAUAGCAAAUGGGGAAUUCUGACUGAGCACAUUAAGAUUAUUUUAGGAAUUGAUUUUUGCUAUGUACAACUUAAAGUUUGCUUUAAAUGACAUCAAAGUUUGUACAAAAUUAAUAACCAUAGCUCAAAAGAUGGGGAUGUAAUAUGCCACAAAGAUAAGUCAAUGAUGCAGUCUAGGUGACUUUGUUUAAUAAGUUGAAUGCAAGCAGACAAUUGUUUUGUGGGUAGCUAAUAAGUAAUACAUCUGUGAACAGUGAAAGCAGGCUGUCAUUUUCACCUGUCCAUUUAGUCUACCCACCAAAUACCAGAGCUCAAGAAAGAACAGAGAAGACACCCAAAUUCAGGACCAUUGAAGGUCUUCUAGUGUUAGAGCCUUAUAAGAUUGCCCUAGAUCAUUUCUGAACAACUGUAUUGGUACAGCUGUAAAAAAUAAGGGAGUAAAACCGUAUCUGCAGAUAAUUCCUGUGAUCUAAUCAUCAGUCACAUUAUAGCAAAGUUAAUGCUGCUGUUGCCUUUUUCAACUUCAGAAAAUUGUGUGUUGCUGGACCUAAUAAGAACUGAAAGUGCAGGUUGGAUUUUUUCUUCUGUUAAUGAGUUUUUAUUUGGAGAUUUAGAGGAGAAGCGAAGAGGUGCAGAGGGAUUUAUCAAGAAAGAGAACAAUGAAUGAACUCCUGAACAUGGUGCUUUGGUCAGAAAGACUCAUGUAAUUCUUGGCUACAAAGAGAGAAAUCUCUAGAGACUACAAUGACAAUAGUAGUUCUGUGUUUGUCACUGAAGCAAUUUUUGUUGGAAUUGGCUUUGUCCAGUUUAGGAUUCAAGAAGACUGUUGGUAAACAGAAAUCUUUGAGAGAAGAGCAAGAAAACAACACAACAUCCUUAUCUCCAAAUUGCAGAGAGAUGAUUUGAAGGGUGGGCUGUUCAGUGGAUAAGGAAUUGGCUGGAUGGCCACACCCAGAGAGUGGUGGUCAAUGGCUCUAUGUCCAGGUGGAGGCCGGUGGCGAGUAGUAUCCCUCUGUGGUCUGUCUAGGAACAAGUACUGUUUAAUGUCUUUAUCAAUGACAUAGACAGUGGGAUCAAGUGCACCCUCAGCAAGUUUGCAGAUGAUGCCAAGCUGAGUGCUGCAGUCAAUACACCAGAAGGAAGGGAUGCCAUCCAGAGGGACCUGGACAGGCUGGAGAACUAGGCCCACGUGAACCUCAUGAGGUUCAACAAGUCCAAGUGCAAGGUGCUGCACCUAGGUUAGGGCAAUCCCAGAUGUGAGCACAGACUGGGAGAACCCAUUCAGAUCAGCCCUGCGGAGAAGGACCUGGGGGUUCUGGUGGACAAAAACCUUGACACGAGCCAGCAGUGCGUGCCUGCAGCCCAGAAAGCCAACUGCAUCCUGGGCUGCACCAACAGAGGGGUGGGCAGCAGGUGGAGGGAGGUGAUUGUGCCCCGCUGCUUUGCCCUUGUGAGGCCCCACUGGGAGUGCUGCAUCUAGCAGCAUCCAACCAUCCUGGUUGGAACCAGGUGAUCCUUAAGGUCCCUUCCAACCCAAGCUAUUCUAUGAAGUAAAAAAAUCAUUGAUUCAUAUGGUACAGGAUGAGUGAUACAAGGAAGUUUUUCUCUUUGGUUUGUUAAACCAAAAAGUGUAUUGACUAAUGUCCAAAAGUAUCUGCAGUGAAAUAGAAACUUAAGAGCUGGUUUUUCAAUCUAGCUGACAAAGACAUAACACUAUCCAGUUGCUGGUGCUGAAGCCGAACAAAACCUGACUAGAAUCGUGUGGUAAAUUUCUCCCUAAACAAUGGGUAUCUAACCAUUGGAAAAGUUUUGUGAGAAUUAUACUGGCCUUUCCAUCUCUACUCAUUUCUACCUGACUAGUUGUUUUUCUUAAAAGACAUGUUCUAGAUGAACUAGAUGGUUCAGGAACUUCUGUCACAAAACUGAUCAGCCCCAGAUGGUCACAGUAGAUGUUCUAGCGUAAUCCCCUGUGGGGACCAAGCUGGUUUUGGUUCUUACUUCAGCUCUGCUAUGGGCUUACCACAUGCUUCAUAUUUUUGCCUAUGGAUGCUCACAGCUGUAGCACUACCUGUCUAAAUGGUCCGGCAAGGGAUGCGGAUUGCAUAAAAGCCUGUCCUAAAGAUAAGGUGUCCACAGAGAACAACCAGUCACAUGUGGAAUUUUAAUACUCCCUUUUCUAAUUAUUGAAAUUUCUAAGCAACAAUCUUAGGAAUUAAGAGUUCAUCUGGUAGCUGUACUUCUAUAAGAUUCCAGACGGAAGGUGGAAUACUGUUUGGAUUAAAAGUGCUAGCAUUAACUUUUGCAUUUCUGCAUGAUUUUAAAUGCACCAAGAAUAUGUCCAUAUGAACACCUGAUCUUUUGGCUUGUCCAGAACUUGUUUUUGGGCUCUUGUAAAGUGGUAUCUAGCGUUAAAGGAAAAAAUGCAAAAUAAUAAGUAACACUAGCUUAUCAUUAUUUACAGCAAACCAAUUCCCUCUUUGCUCAUAGGAGACCAAAAUGAUGUAUUUGCCUGGCUGAAAAUUUCUUUUUUGCAAGUAAUAAGAAAUGCAGAGAUCCCUUACAAUGGUUACUUGAGCCUUCUUGCAGCUUGGGGCAAAACCACAUUGGCAGAAAGACAAUGUCCUGUCUCUAAUGGCUGUGAAGCCUCUCUGAACUUGACCCGAAUUUGAACUUAUACAAAAGGGACCUCUGUGCAGUGACAAAAACUUAAAAACAGAGUAUAAUUACGUAAGAAAUUCAAAAUAAGUUGGGGAGCAUGUUUGGAUGAGAUCAGCAUUCCAAGUAAUCCCUAACAAGAAUUGGAUGUUUGUAUCUCUGCUGCCACACAUUUUUCUUUAUGAUCUUCUGAAUGUUCUAUUAAUCUGCCUCCAAACUGAAACCUUAUACCUGAUAGCAGCCCUUCUUGGCAGACUUCUGGUGCAAAGUUGGCCAUAGUAUCUUACGCAAGUCCCCCAAACUCUUUAAAUACUUUGAUACUGAUGAGGAAGGGAUGUGUUUAAAAAAAAUAAAUCACAGAAAGGUCCCUGUGUUUUCCUGUCUUCUUUUGCAGAAGCUAAUAAAUCAACUGAUUAAAGAAGUCAAUGGAAAGAAGAGUGCCAGUGCUGUCAUGAAGGCAGUAGCUAGCACUGGUGGCCUCGUCUUUGUAGCACUGACUAGGAGGAAGCUAUGCUUAUUGCUCACCUUGGUAUUAGUAGCUCCAGGUCUUAGCCUCUACUCAGAUGAAGUGAGUAACUAAGCUCCCAAACAGUCAUAUUUUACUACCGAGAAGAUUCUUUAUUCACUUUUAGGAGUAGUUUUUCUCUUUUAUGUUCUCAUCAGACUGCUUUGCAUGUUCUGUGUGGUUUCACUGGUCACCACUCAUCAAGGAGUACUUGUUAUGUGUUGCACUCCCUCAUCCAUGUUUGAAUUAGAUAUCUGUUUGAUCAUACUUAAAAAGCAAACUACUUUGGAAAUCUACAGCUAAGAAAAGCAUCCAAUUUCCACAUACAGGUCUUAUUUCAUAGGCCUGAGUCUGUUGGGUGGAUGGUCCAAGGCUUCCAUGCCCUGGGAACUCCAGUUUUGGAUUGCAUGUUUUUAAGAAUCGUCUUUAACAUUGGAUCUUUGGAUGUCUCACCUGCCUGGCAACUCCCACUGAGACAGGAGACUCCAAAGUACAACUGUUGUGAGAUGACUCCUCAGUUGAUUUUUGCAUUCUUCUAUAAGGAGUCUUGUGUCUUCAUGCAUGCACUCAGCACAGCAUUUGCUGGUCUACAUUCAACUACACUUGACCAUCGUUUCACCCUUUCUCACAGGCAUUUGAAGAAACAACUUUUGAUCUGUGUCUGUGGGGAAUGGAGGCAAAAUCUUCUCUGUCCUCCUCUCCCCAGUUUGGCUUUCUGUCUUUGCACUGAAGGAAGUUUCUCUUCAGAAGCAGUCCAAGUCUUUUAAAGACUUCUGAUGAGGUUUUCCUGGGAGACAGACCAGGCUUAUGUUAAAGUACUGUGAUAACAGUUGAUUGUUAGUAGCAGCAAUCUAAUUGCUCCACCAGGCAGAAGGCAUUCCUGGUUGAGGUACUCUUGAAGGCUGUUUCAACUGCAUAGAUAUCAUCUUGUUUCUACUACAAAAUGGAGCAUGUAACCUGCACUUUAAAUUACAGUGAAAUCCUAUCCACAAACUGGCAGCCAUUCCCCUGACUCUCACACCUUGCUUUUAACAUAUGGGUUGACUGACACCAUCAGAUCAAAUAAUUUUCCAGACUUCUUGCUACAUCCACUGGGCAUCAUUUCUCAUUUAAGAUUCCUGCAGUGAGGCUGUAUCUCCAAUGAUAGUUCAGGUUUUCAUCUGGUGUAAAUUAUCAUAGUUCUAGUCAACUUCAAUGGAUUUGAUAAUUUACACCAUCUGAGGUUCUGCAUCUGAAAACCACAUAAUAAAAAGCAGAUACUAUUUUAACUAAUCUGAAAAAUAAGUGCCUAGUAUUUGCCCAAGCGUAGCUAUUUUAAUACCUGCUACUUACUGCCAGCAGUCAACUGCAUGCUAGAGACUUAAAGUCCUUUGUCCUGUGUCUGGGUAACUGGGAUAGUGUCCUGUAUUUUAUCAAAAUGAAGGUUGAACAGAGACUGCAAAAGCCCUUGACAGCAGCUUUGCUGAGAGACCUGAAAGCCAACACUCCUUUUGCAAAGCCUUUAUACUGACCAUGAUCAUUGUUAUACAUGAUAUUUUAAAGCAGCUGCUUAGCUUUGUCACUUUAAUAUGUUUUCAUUUUGAUUUCUAUAUUCUUCUUCAAGCCACACGAACAUUGGUUGAUGUUUGGUAUCUAUCUGACCUUGUAAGUAAUAGGAGAUUGCAUGGAUUGCACAUCAACUAUCUAUGUCAAGUAUAUGGUAAGAAUUUGUGAAAUGUUUUACAGAAAGCAUGGUCUCUGACCUAUUCCAGAAUGUGAUACUGUAAAUAAAGUGUCUAUCACAGC